AACGCGAAGAACCUUACCUGGGCUCGAAAUGUUAUGGACCGAAGUAGAAAUAUUUCUUUCCCGCAAGGGACCGUAAUAUAGGUGCUGCAUGGCUGUCGUCAGCUCGUGCCGUGAGGUGUUGGGUUAAGUCCCGCAACGAGCGCAACCCUUAUCAUUAGUUGCCAACACGCGAGGUGGGAACUCUAAUGAGACUGCCCGGGUUAACCGGGAGGAAGGUGAGGAUGACGUCAAGUCCGCAUGGCCUUUAUACCUGGGGCUACACACGUUCUACAAUGGUCGGUACAGAAGGCAGCAAGACCGCAAGGUGGAGCAAAUCCCUAAAACCGAUCUCAGUUCGGAUUGUAGUCUGCAACUCGGCUACAUGAAGUUGGAAUUGCUAGUAAUGACGUGUCAGCAAUAACGUCGUGAAUACGUUCCCGGGCCUUGUACACACCGGAGUA
rnacentral:rRNA from 1 species